CCGCGUGCAGGAAGAAGGCCUUCGGGUUGUAAACUGCUUUUGUACAGAACGAAAAGGNUUUUAUUAAUACNAGGGGCUCAUGACGGUACUGUAAGAAUAAGCACCGGCUAACUACGUGCCAGCAGCCGCGGUAAUACGUAGGGUGCAAGCGUUAAUCGGAAUUACUGGGCGUAAAGCGUGCGCAGGCGGUUAUAUAAGACAGNNGUGAAAUCCCCGGGCUCAACCUGGGAANGGCANUUGUGACUGUAUAGCUGGAGUGCGGCAGAGGGGGAUGGAAUUCCGCGUGUAGCAGUGAAAUGCGUAGAUAUGCGGAGGAACACCGAUGGCGAAGGCAAUCCCCUGGGCCUGCACUGACGCUCAUGCACGAAAGCGUGGGGAGCAAACAGGAUUAGAUACCCUGGUAGUCCACGCCCUAAACAAUG
rnacentral:rRNA from 1 species